CCUACGGGAGGCAGCAGUGAGGAAUAUUGGUCAAUGGACGAGAGUCUGAACCAGCCAAGUAGCGUGAAGGAUGACUGCCCUAUGGGCUGUAAACUUCUUUUAUAUGGGAAUAAAAUGUUCCACGUGUGGGACUUUGUAUGUACCAUAUGAGUAAGGAUCGGCUAACUCCGUGCCAGCAGCCGCGGUAAUACGGAGGAUCCGAGCGUUAUCCGGAUUUAUUGGGUUUAAAGGGAGCGUAGGUGGUUUGUUAAGUCAGUUGUGAAAGUUUGCGGCUCAACCGUAAAAUUGCAGUUGAAACUGGCAGUCUUGAGUACAGUAGAGGUGAGCGGAAUUCGUGGUGUAGCAGUGAAAUGCGUAGAUAUCGCGAAGAACUCCAGUGGCGAAGGCAGCUCACUGGACUGCAACUGACACUGAGGCUCGAAAGUGUGGGUAUCAAACAGGAUUAGAUACCCGAGUAGUC
rnacentral:rRNA from 1 species